rnacentral:rRNA from 1 species
GACGAACGCUGGCGGCGUGCUUAACACAUGCAAGUCGAACGGUAAGGCCCUUCGGGGUACACGAGUGGCGAACGGGUGAGUAACACGUGGGUGAUCUGCCCUGCACUUCGGGAUAAGCCUGGGAAACUGGGUCUAAUACCGGAUAGGACCACUGCCUGCAUGGGUGGUGGUGGAAAGCUUUUGCGGUGUGGGAUGGGCCCGCGGCCUAUCAGCUUGUUGGUGGGGUGAUGGCCUACCAAGGCGACGACGGGUAGCCGGCCUGAGAGGGUGACCGGCCACACUGGGACUGAGAUACGGCCCAGACUACUACGGGAGGCAGCAGUGGGGAAUAUUGCACAAUGGGCACAAGCCUGAUGCAGCGACGCCGCGUGAGGGAUGACGGCCUUCGGGUUGUAAACCUCUUUCAGCACCGACGAAGCGCAAGUGACGGUAGGUGCAGAAGAAGGACCGGCCAACUACGUGCCAGCCGCCGCAGUAA